rnacentral:lncRNA from 1 species
UCUGUGUCUCAGCUCACAGGGCUUCCAGAUAGGAUCAUGGCCUAUAAAAUGCUUCAAGUAGUCCUGUGCUCAACAUUGCUUAUCGGAGCAUUGGGAGCGCCAUUUUUGUUGGAAGACCCUGCAAACCAGUUCCUACGUCUCAAAAGACAUGUAAAUUUGCAGGAUUACUGGGACCCAGAUCACAGUUCAGAUGUGUGGGUAAACACACUGGCUAAGCAGGUAUUUGUAUUAGAAACAAAUGGUCCUUCACCAUUUAUCUUUUUAAAUAGUCAUUGCAUUAGCUGACCACUAAUUAACACAUGACUAGCCUAGCCCUGAUUUUUCCUCUCUAGACACUCUGAACUAUAUCUGCUUUUUCUUGCCCAUGAAGUGGUUUUUGCCUGGUAAACUCUGCCUCUUGCUUAAAGACUAGACUCAAAUGUCCCUCUGAAGCCUUUCCCUUCUUCUCAGGGCGACAUUUGUCUUUCCUUCUCUCCCUUUUUGCAUGCUCUUUCACAAAUAAAUAGCUCUCAAAAUGUCAAUUGGAAUUACUUGUUUUGUGUACCCAACCUACCUACCUAGACUAUAAAGGUAGGGUCUGUAUCUUAUCCUUCAAGGUAAUUAUUCUCGGGAACUAGCAAAAUGAUUGUUAUAUAGUCAAAGCUUAAUAAAUUAUUACAUGUAUGUGUAGAUUGAUGAAUGGAUAGUGGUCGGACUUUAGUUCACUUUCAGUUGUUCAGUAGCUAAAUAUCCCCGGUGACAAUUAUUCAAGGCUUUAAUGUUGUUCCUCCUUUUGCUUGCCUUUUGUACAUUUUCCUAUUCAUUUGCAUUCUCGCUGCAAAAGAAACAAAGAAGAAAUUUGCAUUGGCCUUUUUUAUUCUAUAUUUACUUUUCUGAUAGAAGAAGACAUUAAAACUCCAGGCCAAAUGAAAUUGCUGAAUUAUCUGAGUAUUUCAAUUAUUCAUGAUCUCCCUCUUACAAUUUAGCAAUUUAGGAAACAAAGUUGUAUAAUGAAUGAAUGAAUUCUUUCACUUAUUCUUUCUUUCUUUCCACAUAUCUCAGGAUCUGAUUAUCAUCAGGCAUGAGGAUUGUAUAAAGUCAUAAAAAGUUGAAUGUCCUUGUUUUCAUGGGGCCUUGAUCUUGUCCGUACUCCACAUAACUGGGUCUUAACCGGUCUACCAGGAUCUGCUUGUUUUGCACUUGCUGAUGAAAACUACUAACUGAAUAAUGCAUCCAGUUUUAUGGCUGUUUUUGUCCAAUAGGCAUUAUUUAGCAUUAUUAAAACAAGACAUUUGUUUAUUUGGUCAAUUAAGUGAUUAAGUAGGCUGGUAGACUGUGUCUUCUUUAUAGAAUGUUGACAUUUUCAGGUACUCUCCUGCCUCUACUUGUAGACCAGAUUUGUACCAACUGACAGGCACUAUGUAAUGUAGCAAGACUCUGCUACAUUGGUUUAUACUGUGGCCCCACAAAUACUGUAAAAUAUCUGAGUAUUGAAAUAAACAGAUAAUUAAAAGUAUGAAAACCAAAUUCUAUUUGGUAUAAUUCUUCCAUUAUAUUUUUCUCAUCUUUUAGGAAUAUCUGUAUGAUAAUCAGAAUAACUGAUGCAAGAUGUGUUCUACACACUCAGAGAUCAUGACUUGUGUUUCCUUUUCUUGAAGGCUCGUGAAACAUGGAUUGCUUUGAAAACAACAGCACAGUAUUAUUUGGAUAUGAAUACCUUCACCUUUGACAUGUCUACUGCCCAGUAAAUAUGUUUUCCUGGUUAAAGCAGGAGGAUGAAGAUGGCAGAGGUUGGAAUGGCAUUGUGCCAAAACCAUGGGUUUUAGAGAUCUGAGGGUAUAUCCAUGCUGUUUACUACAUUAUUUAUUAUGUCUGUCUCAAAGUUGUUGAAAACAGUAGUUAUGAAAACCCAUGUAGGAAACUGGAAUAAGACAUUCUCAAUAAAUGGUAGUUCUCAAAAAAAGAACUAAAAAAAAAAAAGGCUGUAGUAAUAACAUUUACCAAAACGAUGGCAUUUAUGGGAAAAGGAAAGCAAAAACAUAAACAAAGAAAAGUAGUUUCAUUAAACCACUCUGUUCAUAGCUUUUACUCUCUAUUGCCUCUUCUUUGAGAGAGUUUUUUAAUUCAAAGAAGGACAGGGAGCUCUCAAAUGGAGCUGAUCCUCUUCUCUCUUCUUCAGUGCUUGUCGCAUUCUUAAGUCAGUCGAUUUUAAAACCAUGACUUUGAAACGUUUUUCAUCAAAGGUGUACUGCUGAGUGGAGAAUACAGCCUUACCUUAAUACAACAAGUAGAUAGUGGCUAGGAACUCAAUGGAAGUCAUUCACUUGUAAGUGCAAACUUCUUCCAAGUUUUGUAAAAUUUUUGUAAGCUUUGCAUUCUGUUCCACAAUUUAUUGAUGUUUGUUUUAAUGUGAAAUAACAGUUUUGACUCACUGGCCAGGCACAUUUUAUAAUUUUUUCAAUUAAAACUGAAAAAUUGGCCAUAGGGAAAAGUGGACUGCAUUUAUCCUAUAACUUUCCUAAUAUUCAUGGAUUACCACCUCAGUUUGAGAAGCAUUGAGAUGAUACAACUAAUUGCCAAGAUUGCCCCCCAAAAUCACAGGUAAAUGGAAUUUUUGUCUUCAGAAGUCUAUUUAUCUCCAUUCUCUAUUCUCUAUUUUAGUUGUUCUCUCGAACAAUUUAUUUUUACCUUUUAAGGUAAAUGGAAACAUUUCCCUAAGACCUUAGUUGAUCUUAUGUGGUCUUAAAACAAUCUUAAGCACUUUUUGAGUGGCAAGUAAAUCAGAAAAACCAAAUGCCAAGAAGUUGACUGGAAGGACUUUGGCCUCAGCAAUUUCUUCUCCAAAAGGACACUGACAGCUGCUCAGUGUUUCACAUUUCCCAUCCUAUGGCCUAGAGGUGUUUUCAGUGAGAAAUUUAAGGCUAAUUUAUAACUUAUUAAGUUAACUGCUAUCCAUUUCCAAUAAAUAUGAACAUAGAUUUUUAAAUUACAUCUGAACAAACAAAACAAAGAUGAUGAAUCAUUUAGUUUUGCAGUGGGAAAUAAGUUUGAGAUUGUACAUAAAUAUAUCUUCAGUGUUUUACCAAUAAUAUACAUUUUACUAACACAAAGUUUCAUUCUUUAAUUAUUUAAUAAAAAAUUGAGAAUGUCUGUGUAUUAGGGUUCUCCAGAGAAACAGAACCAAUAGGAUAUGUAUAUAUAGAGAUGCUCCUCAACAUACGAUGGCGUUACAUCCCAAUAAACCCGUCACACGCUGAAAAUAUCAUAAGUCAAAAGUGCAUUUAAUACACCUGACCUACCCAACCUCAUAGCUUUGCCUAGCCCACUGAUAUGGUUUGGCUCUGUGUUCCCACCCAAAUCUCAUGUUAAAUUGUAAUUCCCAUGGCCGGGCAUGGUGGCUCACACCUCUAACGCAGUCUGCUGGAAGAAUUCCCUCUUCCUUACGAUAGGUCAGUUCUUUGUUCCUUCCAAGACUUCAGCUGAUUAAAUAAGUCUCAUUCCUAUUAUACAGGGUAAUCUCCUUAACCCAAAGCCAACCAAUUUAAUGUAAAUCUUAUCCAAAAAUACACUCACAGAAGCAUUCAUUUAAUAUUCGACCAUGUUUACAUAUUCUACUGGAGGAUUACAAACAUAAAUACUGUGGUGACUCUGAACUCUUCUGAAGCAGGUUUUCAUUGUGAAGUUUAAAGGGAACUCUGUUGGUUUGCCUUCUUCACCUGCUUAAUACAGAGGCCCACUAUGUAACUGGAAAUGACAGGUAAGGAUAAUCCUACUAAAUCCAGACUCCCAGAGGCUUCUGUCCAAAUUUGAGGCUCACUGGUCUGACCCUAUACAAGCACUCUUCUGCCUAAGCUUUCCUGCAUUUUCUGUAGAACAAGUCAACAUAUAUGCCAAGGAUCAGGCUGACCCUUUUUAUGUCUCUUGAACAUCCUACCCUCUAGAAUUCAUGUAAUGUUGAUUCACAUGCUUUCCCAGUGGACAUUUCAAUGCCAUAUUAAUACGGGGAAACAAUUCCAAGUCUUCCUUUGAUGAUAUGAAAAGCAUGGUGCUAAUCUUGUUAUGUAUCCUAUUCAACCACUUUUCAAAACCUUCGACUGAUUAAAAAAGAGGAAGUAAACAUUUAUUGAG